rnacentral:rRNA from 1 species
AAGUGCUCGGUCGAGAUUGUAAGAUACAUUUAACAAUGACCUCAAAUCAGGCAAGAAUACCCGCUGAACUUAAGCAUAUCAAUAAGCGGAGGAAAAGAAACUAACAAGGAUUCCCCUAGUAACGGCGAGUGAAGAGGGAAAAGCUCAAAUUUUAAAUCUGCCUUGUUUCAAGGUCGAGUUGUAAUUUGAAGAAGCGUUUUCUUGGGCUCGCGGCCGGUAGAAGUUCUUUGGAACAGGACAUCAUAGAGGGUGACAAUCCCGUCUGCGACCGGUCGUGUGUUCAUCUACGAUACGCUUUCAAAGAGUCGAGUUGUUUGGGAUUGCAGCUCCAAAUGGGUGGUAAACAUCACCUAAGGCUAAAUAUUGGCGAGAGACCGAUAGCGAACAAGUACCGUGAGGGAAAGAUGAAAAGAACUUUGAAAAGAGAGUUAAACAGUACGUGAAAUUGUUGAAAGGGAAACGAUUGAAGUCAGUCGUGCUGGCGCGAAAUCAACCCUCACGUCGAGGGAUCACAUGGCGUGGCGAGCCUCAAAACCGUCACGAAGCGUGAACUCUUGGCGAAAGGGAGCACUUUCGUGUCCGCUGGUUAACAUCAAUUUCGAACGUCAUAAAAAGGCUGGAGGGAUGUGGCUCCUUCGGGAGUGUUAUAACCUUUAGCGGAAUGUGGUGGUCGGGAUUGAGGAUUGCAACGAAUACCUUUAGGGCUGUUCCACCUGGCCUCUCUCUGGUAUCCUGGUGACGACAGCUUGCUGACGUCGUUAGGAUUCGCCUUUGAACGGGCUAGAGUGUGAGCAAAUUCGUUAAGGAUGUUAACGUAAUGGCUUUAAACGACC